UCAUUGGUGGCUUGGUAGUAGAAUUCUUGCCCUCUGUGCAGGAGGCCCAGGUUUGAUUCCUGGCCAGUGUC
rnacentral:tRNA from 1 species